GUGCUUGCUUUGGCAGCACAUACACUACAAGUGGAAUGAUACAGAGAUUAGCAUGGUCCCUGCACAAGGAUGACAUGCAAAUUCUUGAAGUGUUCCAUAUUUUU
rnacentral:snRNA from 1 species